rnacentral:rRNA from 1 species
GAUGAACGCUGGCGGCGUGCUUAACACAUGCAAGUCGAACGUGAUCCCGUAGCAAUAUGGGUGAAAGUGGCGGACGGGUGAGUAACACGUGGGUGACCUGCCUUGGAGUGGGGGAUAACCAUGGGAAACUGUGGCUAAUACCGCAUGGUCUUAUGUAUGUGGGAACAUGGAUAAGUAAAGCUUUAGUGCUUCAAGAGGGGCCUGCGUCCGAUUAGGUAGUUGGUGAGGUAAUGGCUCACCAAGCCGAUGAUCGGUAGCUGGUCUGAGAGGACGAUCAGCCACACGGGAACUGAGAGACGGUCCCGACUCCUACGGGGGGCAGCAGUAAGGAAUAUUGCGCAAUGGGCGAAAGCCUGACGCAGCGACGCCGCGUGGGGGAUGAAGGUCUUCGGAUUGUAAACCCCUUUCGGGAGGGAAGAUGGAACGAGCAAUCGUUCGGACGGUACCUCCAGAAGCAGCCACGGCCAACUUCGUGCCAGCAGCCGCGGUAAAGCGUA